GACGAACGCUGGCGGCGUGCCUAACACAUGCAAGUCGAACGUGAAAGGGGCUUCGGCUCCAAGUAAAGUGGCGUACGGGUGAGUAAUACAUAGGUAAUCUACCUUAAAGCCUGGAAUAACCUGCCGAAAGGCGGGCUAAUACUAGAUAGUGCGAAGAAUUUAUAAAGAAUUUUUCGGGAAAGGGAGCCGCAAGGCCCUCACUUUAGGAUGAGCUUAUGUCCCAUUAGUUAGUUGGUAAGGUAAUGGCUUACCAAGACGGUGAUGGGUAGCUGGUCUAAGAGGAUGGUCAGCCACACUGGAACUGAAACACGGUCCAGACUCCUACGGGAGGCAGCAGUGGGGAAUAUUGCGCAAUGGACGAAAGUCUGACGCAGCGACGCCGCGUGAGUGAAGAAGGCC
rnacentral:rRNA from 1 species